CCACUACUUCUCCUUUUGAAAUAAAUUAAUUUCUAAUUACGAAAUAAUUAUUUUAAAUUACUUCGAUUAACAAUUCAUCUUUAAUUACCUUCCUUUUCAAAUCAAAUUAAUUUCUCUUUCCAAUAAAUUAAAUUUGAUUACAAUUAAUUACUAAUUAAAUAAUAACAAUUUUCCUCUUAUAAUUAUAACAAUUAAUAUUAUAAAAUAAUAACACCAUCUCUUCCUUUUCACUUUAAUUUUAGUAAUUAAAGUUAAUAAAUAUGAAUUUUGCACACGUCCAAACACGACCCUGGCUAUCCCAAUUAAAUUCUGAUUAUUAUUGUUAAAUGUUAAGUUUUUGCUCAUUGGGCCUGCGGGCCCAAACUGUUAAUCGAAUCCAAAAAUUGCCAGUCCAAACCAAAACCCUAGCUUGCCACCACCAACAGUGCUUGCCACCGCCAACCUAGCUGCAGCCAUCACGACUUCGCUGCCAACCACCGCGUAACGGUUGCUGCUGCCCUCAAAAUCACGGCGAGAAAUCUAACCCAAAACGAACCAGAAACGCUAUCCCAAUACACAGAAACAAAACACAAAUCCCUAACUCAAUGCGAAUCAACCUUAUAUCUCAAAUCAAAAGAAUUCCUAGAAAUCCCCAAAAUCAGAAUUGAAGAUGAAAACAGGAAAACUCCAAAAUCCCCAACGAAACCCUAAUUGCAACACAUAGAGUCUCUCUUCACGGAACGCAGGAGCCCUCAUCGCGCCUUCCUGCACCUCCGUCGCGCAAUAGCCGCGCCUUCCUGCGAGCCAACACGAAGAGAAACGAGAAAAACCAGGAUGACCAUGUCCUCGCACAAUCGUCGCGCCUCCGCCGCAACCUUAUCGCGUCUCUCAUCUCCAUCACUGCAUUCUCACCGCUGUUCGCAAGAAAAGGGAGAAGAGAAAGGAAAGAAGCUUCGCUUCUGAUGUGUACGUUUCAGGAAAAGUAAAGAAAACCAAAUGAGCCCCUGAGAAUCUGACCCCUUCCAAAAGAACGAGAGCUGGGCCCUUAAUUGGGUUGCAUUUAUUCAAGCCCAAUUAGAAACGGAAAGAGAAAGAAAUCUGGACUUAGAAAACAAU
rnacentral:lncRNA from 1 species